CGGCAGCCGCUACCAGAGACAAGGAAGGCUGAGAGAACCCAUCUGCCCUCAGUGGAGGAGAAUGGCUUAACCAGGGCAGCGGGCCCUGAGCAGGGACAGCCUCCAGCAGAGCAGCCACAAGCUGAGACAACCAAGUACCUUGGGAAAGGGGAUGGGAAGGCAGGGGGCACAAACCUCCAAGCUGAGGCCACUUAGCACAGGAAGCCCACAACCACCCCAAGACCGACAAAGGUCUUUUCCUACCCUAUGAUCCCAUAAGCCUCUGAAAUGGAAAAGGGUGAGAAACAUUUCACUGAUUGGCAAAGAAGCAUGAAAUCAUGGUGGCAAGGUUCCUUUUCUCUCUUUGGUACCUUUCUUGUGCUCUGACCACCUCUGCUCAAUGCUCCUGUUGACACUCUACAAAGAAGGGGACCUCUGGCAAUGUAAGGCUUGUCAUUUGGACCACCGUAGUGUCGAAAUGGCAAGGGUGAAGAAGAGAGAGACGUCCAGCACUCCCGUGACUGAGUCCUCGUAGCCGUGGCUCUCACUUCUGCAUUUAUGCAGAGGCUGAGCUUUUCUCAACCAAGUCUUCCUUUUUUCUGCCUUUCCUUUUCCCUCCUAGAAACAG